AGGGGGUGGGGAGGCCUGCCGGUGCAACGAGAUGGAGUAGGCUGGCGCCUUGGGAGAGCGAAUCGAGGGCGGCGGAGCUGGAAUCUUGCUCCAUUGCCCAGGCUGGAGUGCAAUGGUAUGAUUAUAGCUCACUGCAGUCUCAAGCUCCUGGGCUCAAGUGAUCCUCUUGCCUCAGCCUCCCAAUUCUUUCUACCACACUCCCGAGGAAGCUCCCAUGGACAAAGCCGGAUAAUCCGAAAGGCAUACCUGGAAGACUUUUACACCCGGAUGAUGCAUGAGUGCUAUCAGAUAUGGGCCCAGCUGGAGCAUGAGGCUGGAACCCAACUGUACAGGCAGACUGGAUUACUGCUGCUGGGAAUGAAAGAGAAUCAAGAAUUAAAGACAAUCCAGGCCAGUCUGUCGAGGCAGAGGGUAGAACACCAGUGUCUUUCAUCGGAGGAACUGAAGCAACGUUUCCCAAAUAUUCGGUUGCCCAGGGGAGAAGUGGGGCUGUUGGACAAUUCCGGAGGAGUUCUCUAUGCAUACAAGGCCCUCAGAGCCCUGCAGGAUGCAGUUCGACAGCUAGGAGGCAUAGUGCGUG
rnacentral:sRNA from 1 species